UUGUAGACCAGGCUGGCCUCGAACUCACAGACAUCCACCUGCCUCUGCCUCCCGAGUGCUGGGAUUAAAGGCAUGUGUGUGCCCCUGUCACCCUGCUCUCCUUCCUUCCUUCCUUCCAUCCCUCCUUCCUUCCUUCCUUCCUUCCUUCCCUCCUUCCUUCCCUCCUUCCUUCCCUCCAGAUUUACUUAUUAUGUAUAGUGUUCUGCUUGCAUGUAUGCCUGCACGCCAGAAGAGGGCACCAGAUCUCUUAUAAGUGGUAGUGAGUUCACUGGUGGUUGCUGGAAAUUAAACUCAGGACCUCUGAAGGAAGGAACUCAACUGAUGUCUCCAAUCCUACUUUACCACCACCUGGAUUAUUCAAGACAAGUCUCUGGUUUGUCUGUGACAGGAUUCGAACUCCACAGUGAGAAACCCGGCCUUGCUACCUUGUUCCUUGAUUCUAGGUGCUUGGACAGAAGCAUCAGACUCCUUUGUCAAUCAGCUUUUCCAGAUGGAGACAAGUUCUAUGUGCAACUCUUUCAGAGUUCACUCACUUCUACUUAGCUUGGGACAAUCAUGAUGAAAGAUGCUACGGAAUCUUUUCCUCUUGCCCUCACCAAGGUGCCCAGAGUAAGAAGCUUUCGAACAUUCAAGAUUUGGCUUCGAGGGGCUGGAAAGAUGGCUCAGCGGUUAAGAGUACUGGCUGUUCUUCCAGAGGUCCCAGGUUCAAUUCCCAGCACCCACAUGGCUGCUCACAACUGUCUGUAGCUCCAGUUCCAGGGGAUCUGAUACCUUCAUACCAAUGUGCAUCAAAUAAAGUUAAGUAAAUUAUUUAAAAUGUAUUUAGAAAUUAAAGAAUUAAAAGAAAUUAUUUGGGUUCAUUCACAACCCACAGCACAACCAUGGCCGAGGGAACGUUGCUGCUGGAGG
rnacentral:lncRNA from 1 species